AAAAAAUAACAGACAAUUUCAAAGAUGUGCAAAGAUUUCUCAAUGAUAAUUCUAAGAUCUGACUCAUCUGGGGAAUGCUGACAUCCUUUCAAGUCUCACUCUGGGAGGAGCAAGCUACCACGUUGUGAAAAGCCCUAUGGAGAGGCCCACAUGAUGAGGAACUGAAGCUUUCAGCCACCAGCCAGGGAGGAAUGGAGCCCUGUCAGCAACCAUAGGAAUGAACUUGGAAGCAGAUUCACCAGCAACAGCCUAGCUCUGGUCAACAGCUCUAACAGCCUCAUGAGAGACCUGGUAGCAGAACCAUGCAGAUAUGCUGCUUUUUGAUUCCUC
rnacentral:lncRNA from 1 species